rnacentral:rRNA from 1 species
UGCAUGGAGCCGACCUUGAAAUACCACCCUUUAAUGUUUGAUGUUCUAACGUGGACCCGUGAUCCGGGUUGCGGACAGUGUCUGGUGGGUAGUUUGACUGGGGCGGUCUCCUCCUAAAGAGUAACGGAGGAGCACGAAGGUUGGCUAAUCCUGGUCGGACAUCAGGAGGUUAGUGCAAUGGCAUAAGCCAGCUUGACUGCGAGCGUGACGGCGCGAGCAGGUGCGAAAGCAGGUCAUAGUGAUCCGGUGGUUCUGAAUGGAAGGGCCAUCGCUCAACGGAUAAAAGGUACUCCGGGGAUAACAGGCUGAUACCGCCCAAGAGUUCAUAUCGACGGCGGUGUUUGGCACCUCGAUGUCGGCUCAUCACAUCCUGGGGCUGAAGUAGGUCCCAAGGGUAUGGCUGUUCGCCAUUUAAAGUGGUACGCGAGCUGGGUUUAGAACGUCGUGAGACAGUUCGGUCCCUAUCUGCCGUGGGCGCUGGAGAACUGAGGGGGGCUGCUCCUAGUACGAGAGGACCGGAGUGGACGCAUCACUGGUGUUCGGGUUGUCAUGCCAAUGGCACUGCCCGGUAGCUAAAUGCGGAAGAGAUAAGUGCUGAAAGCAUCUAAGCACGAAACUUGCCCCGAGAUGAGUUCUCCCUGACCCUUUAAGGGUCCUGAAGGAACGUUGAAGACGACGACGUUGAUAGGCCGGGUGUGUAAGCGCAGCGAUGCGUUGAGCUAACCGGUACUAAUGAACCGUGAGGCUUAACCUUACAACGCCGAAGGUGUUU